UAAAUAUGCUGAAUAGUCAAUUUUCGGCUGUGUAGCAACACAUCUUUCACCUUGUCAAAGCAUUCUUCCUCUAAGUCUUGGAACCAAGAAGGAGCCAACCCUGAAGGUGGAGGACCUGCAUGUAAAAAUGAAGACAGAAGGUGAGGAAUGGGGCUGAAGAGAAACCAUAGACUUAGUGCCAUCUGUGCCAGACUUUGUCUUCAGCUGCUGGCAGAGGGUGCACUCUUGUGGGAUGUGUCUCUCUCCCAGGCAUCGGACAUAGUGAGAAUGUGUGUCUUCUACAGGAAUUGCUUCCUUGCAGGAGAGGCACCUCGUGAAACUGGGGGAGUCAGGCAUGCCCCUGGUGAGGCUAUCAACCUCCAAAAGCGAGCAAUGCAAAAUAAAAGUCUGCUCUUCUU